GUGGGGAAUAUUGGACAAUGGGCGAAAGCCUGAUCCAGCCAUGCCGCGUGAGUGAUGAAGGCCUUAGGGUUGUAAAGCUCUUUCAGUAGGGAAGAUAAUGACGGUACCUACAGAAGAAGCCCCGGCUAACUUCGUGCCAGCAGCCGCGGUAAUACGAAGGGGGCUAGCGUUGUUCGGAUUUACUGGGCGUAAAGCGCACGUAGGCGGAUUGGUCAGUUAGAGGUGAAAUCCUGAGCUCAACUCCAGAACUGCCUUUAAUACUGCCAGUCUAGAGUCCAGAAGAGGUGAGUGGAACUCCUAGUGUAGAGGUGGAAUUCGUAGAUAUUAGGAAGAACACCAGUGGCGAAGGCGGCUCACUGGUCUGGUACUGACGCUGAGGUGCGAAAGCGUGGGGAGCAAACAGGAUUAGAAACCCGUGUAGUCC
rnacentral:rRNA from 1 species